CCUACGGGAGGCAGCAGUGAGGAAUAUUGGUCAAUGGGCUUACGCCUGAACCAGCCAAGUCGCGUGAGGGAAGACUGCCCUAUGGGUUGUAAACCUCUUUUGUCAGGGAGCAACUCCGGCUACGUGUAGCCGGACUGAGAGUACCUGUAGAAAAAGCAUCGGCUAACUCCGUGCCAGCAGCCGCGGUAAUACGGAGGUUGUGAGCGUUAUACGGAUUUAUUGGGGUUAAAGGGUCCGUAGGCGGAAUGCCAAGUCAGCGGUAAAAUCGCGGGGUUCAACCUCGCGCCGCCGUUGAAACUGGCGUUCUUGAGUGGGCGAGAGGUAUGCGGAAUUCGUGGUGUAGCGGUGAAAUGCGUAGAUA
rnacentral:rRNA from 1 species